CAUGCAAGUCGAACGGCAGCGCGGGAGCAAUCCUGGCGGCGAGUGGCGAACGGGUGAGUAAUACAUCGGAACGUGCCCAAUCGUGGGGGAUAACGCAGCGAAAGCUGUGCUAAUACCGCAUACGAUCUACGGAUGAAAGCAGGGGAUCGCAAGACCUUGCGCGAAUGGAGCGGCCGAUGGCAGAUUAGGUAGUUGGUGAGGUAAAGGCUCACCAAGCCUUCGAUCUGUAGCUGGUCUGAGAGGACGACCAGCCACACUGGGACUGAGACACGGCCCAGACUCCUACGGGAGGCAGCAGUGGGGAAUUUUGGACAAUGGGCGAAAGCCUGAUCCAGCCAUGCCGCGUGCAGGAUGAAGGCCUUCGGGUUGUAAACUGCUUUUGUACGGAACGAAACGGCCUUUUCUAAUAAAGAGGGCUAAUGACGGUACCGUAAGAAUAAGCACCGGCUAACUACGUGCCAGCAGCCGCGGUAAUACGUAGGGUGCAAGCGUUAAUCGGAAUUACUGGGCGUAAAGCGUGCGCAGGCGGUUAUGUAAGACAGUUGUGAAAUCCCCGGGCUCAACCUGGGAACUGCAUCUGUGACUGCAUAGCUAGAGUACGGUAGAGGGGGAUGGAAUUCCGCGUGUAGCAGUGAAAUGCGUAGAUAUGCGGAGGAACACCGAUGGCGA
rnacentral:rRNA from 1 species